ensembl:snRNA U6 U6 spliceosomal RNA
AUGCUCACUUAGGCAGCACAUAUACUAAAAUUGGAAGGAUACAGAGAAGAUUAGCUUUCCCUCUGAGCAAGUAUGACCCACAAAUUCGUGAAGCACUCCAUAUUUUU